rnacentral:snRNA from 1 species
GAACUGGUACGGACAAGGG